rnacentral:rRNA from 1 species
UAGCAUAAUAAUUUGUUUUUUAAAUGAAAACUAGUAUGAAUGGCCAUCCAUUUUCUAACUGUCUCUCUAUAUUCUCUUUUAAAUUUCUACCCCCGUGAAGAAGCGGGGAUUUCAAAGUAAGACGAAAAGACCCUGUCGAGCUUAAGCUAAUAAAAGAAAUUUUAAUAUAUUAAUUUAUAUUUAUCUUUUUUAAGCUUUGGUUGGGGCAACCAUGGAGUAAAAUUAUCCUCCAGUUAUAAUAANANGAAUUUUAUUCUCUUUAUAUAUUUAAUGAACCAAACUAUUUUGGCAAACAGAAAAAGUUACCGCAGGGAUAACAGCGUAAUCUUCUUUGANAGCCCAUAUUGACAANAAGGUUUGCNACCUCNAUGUUGGAUUGGGGCAACCAAAAAGCGCANCCUCUUUUAAAGGUUG